rnacentral:rRNA from 1 species
UACAGAGACUGCAAGCGUUAUUCGGAUUCACUGGGCGUAAAGGGUGCGCAGGCGGCCGAGUGUGUGAGGCGUGAAAGCCCGGGGCUUAACCCCGGAAUUGCACCUCAAACUACACGGCUAGAGCAUUGGAGAGGGUAGCAGAAUUCAUGGUGUAGCAGUGAAAUGCGUAGAUAUCAUGAGGAACACCGGUGGCGAAGGCGGCAUCCUGGACCAACACUGACACUGAGGAGCGAAAGCCAGGGGAGCAAACGGG